rnacentral:pre_miRNA from 1 species
AGCAUACUCCCUCCGUCUAACAAAAGAUGUCUCAAGUUUGUCAAAAUUUGGAUGUAUCUAGACAUGACUUAGUGUAUAAAUGCAUUCAAAUUUAGUCAAAGUUAAGACAUCUUUUGUUGGACGGAAGAAUACUUU